AACUCCCAUGAGUUCUGGAGUAGAAUGUUGCUUGGAAAAUGUUCAUUAUUAAGUUCGUUUUCAACCAUUUCCUGAAAAAGGAGAAAGAAAAUAUUCUUUGUCUGGCUAUCAUGAUAGGUGGUAAUUUUGAAACAUUAGAUAAAGUAUAUGUUAUUACUAUUCUCAGUAUGGAUAGAAGGGAAAAAAAGAGCAUGCUGAUUGCACAUUUAGGAAUGGAUAGUUACUAUCUAGGGCAUCCCAGUGUUUAUUAACUAAAAAACACAUUGAGAAAAAGCCAAAUGGAGUACAUGGCUCGCGUGAUCACUGUUUAUCCAUUGCAGCGUGAAACGCAGACCAAAAUGUGGUGGUUUACAACAGUGAUUUAUCCUGGUCUCUCACAGGUCUGGGGGGUGAUGGGCUCUGCAGGGCCAUUUUUGCUUGUUGGGGUCCUUCAUGUGGUUGCCGUCAGAUGGAGGCUGAAGCUGGGGGCACCUGAAGGCAUGAUUGCUCACGUGACCGCCUCUCAGGCUGGAGCACCUGAGGGCUGGUUGGGCAUCUUGCUCGACAGCAUCCUCAACACCUGGCCAGGUCAAGCUUCUACCCAGUGUAGUGGUCUCAGGAUAGUCAGACUUCUUACUUGUCAGUCAGUUCUCUCCCACAGAGCAAGCACUCCAAUAGACCAAAGCAGAGCUUGCAAGGCUUUUUCCUAAUUUAGCUUUCAAAGUCCUGCAGGGGUCCAUUCGGCCUCAUUCUAAUGAGUUGUGAAUGAGUCAUGGGGCAGCCAAGUUCAAUGGGAGGUGAUUACCCAAAGCCCUGAGUAGAAGGAGGUGUGGUUUACUAGGGGCUGUCUUUGUGGAUUGCCUGCCACCAUCACCAAGCUGUGGAUGCGUCUGCCUGCUCAGAUGCUUUAAUGGGUGAAAUGAUGAGUGUAUUCUGCAGAUUUUGAGCUGUUAAGUGAGAUUGCCCUGUCUCUACUGCAGUUAAAUGAAACCACCGGAUUGCUUUCUGGCCAGUCCAGCGUGGGCAUAAACUCCACCUGCAGUCCCGGCUUGGAGUUCAUGCGCCAGAAUGCCACUGAGUUCUACCUCUCCAGUAUGGACUUGACCACCUGAAUGUGUCUGUUGUGGAGGCAGGUACCAAAACAGGAGUGACACACAAGGCUGAAGAAUUAUAGUCAUCAAGGAAACAUUGGCUACUAGAUAUGACUUAUUUGACAGACAAUUCACAAACUUCUGAGACCUACCGCUUUGCACUUUCUUUGGCAGGAAAUGAGUCAUCGGCAAGUUCCUGGUCGUGCAAAGGACUGUGCUGGUGAUGCUGGAUGGGACAGACACAAUCUCUACUCUCUUGCGCUGGGGCUGGGGGUUCACAUGGAGCGUGAGGAUGGAGGGGAAUCAGCAAGACAAUUUCUGUAAGUGAUGAUUCUAUAAAGAUAUUAAUAAAUCACUUAGAAUAAGAGUGAUUUGGGAGAGCCCCCUUAAGUAGGUUGCUGCACUGGGGAGGAGGCAUUGGCUCUUCCAGGAAGAUCAGAGAGAGUUUUCAAUGGAGAUAGCCUUAUGAUUGUAGAGGGCUAAGCCAGAAGGAAAUAUGAUCUAUUCAAGAACUGGGGGAAGGUAAGAAGGUGUCAGAGGGAAGGCAGGAUCCUGCUCUCAUGGGCCUUUAAUGAUAUACAGUUAAUUGGCCAAUGUUCUGGGCUCUCAAUUCUGAUAUAUGUGUUUAUCAUAAGAUGCAUUGCCUCCUUCCCUGGAUUUGUAUGUAGUUCUAUGUGUGUCUAUUGUCACCUUUUUCUUAGUCUUCUCCUUUUGGGAUGAAGGAUCUAUUCUGUUGCUUUUGCAUUCUUCUCCUGGAGCCUCGCCUUCAAACUCCAGCUCAAUAUCUGGCAUCUCCUCUUCAUUGAAGGACUUCCUGGAGCUAGACUUUCUGCCUGCCAGCAUGUAGUUUUUAGAACCACUGCUCUGGCUUCUCCUGUACUUUCUACCGCUAUAGUAGGGACCACCCUCUCAGCAGGACCUACCCCAGUGCAGCGGAUGCUGCCAUAUUCUAGAGGAAAGAGUUCAGGUUUGGACACUAGCUCUGGUUGCUCCACUACAGUGUUCUUAUGAGGAAUUCAUAGAAGAACUAUUUAAAACCCCAAAGAAACAGUGCUUAGCACGAUGCCUACCACAUGGCAAGUACUCAAGUCAUGUUAGUUUUUUUGUUGUUGUUCCAAAAUGCACUCUGAUCCUCUCCCAAC